CUCUUACUCCCUCCGUUCGGAAUUACUUGUCAUAAAAAUGGAUGUAUCUAGAUGUAUUUUAGUUCUAGAUACAUCCAUUUCCGAGACAAGUAAUUCCGAACGGAGGGAGUACUUU
rnacentral:pre_miRNA from 1 species